rnacentral:rRNA from 1 species
UACGUAGGGGGCAAGCGUUGUCCGGAUUUAUUGGGCGUAAAGAGCGUGUAGGCGGCCAUACAGGUCAGCUGUGAAAACUCGAGGCUCAACCUCGAGACGUCGGUUGAAACCGUAUGGCUAGAGUCCGGAAGAGGAGAGUGGAAUUCCCGGUGUAGCGGUGAAAUGCGCAGAUAUCGGGAAGAACACCUAUGGCGAAGGCAGCUCUUUGGGACGGUACUGACGCUGAGACGCGAAAGCGUGGGGAGCGAACAGG